CAGUAGCCGCGGUAAUACGGAGGGGGCUAGCGUUGUUCGGAAUUACUGGGCGUAAAGCGCACGUAGGCGGCUUGGUAAGUUAGAGGUGAAAGCCCGGAGCUCAACUCCGGAAUUGCCUUUAAGACUGCCGAGCUAGUAGGUGAGAGAGGUAAGUGGAAUUCCGAGUGUAGAGGUGAAAUUCGUAGAUAUUCGGAAGAACACCAGUGGCGAAGGCGGCUUACUGGCUCAUUCUAGACGCUGAGGUGCGAAAGCGUGGGGAGCAAACAGGAUUAGAGACCCCCGUAGUCCCUGUCUCUUAUAC
rnacentral:rRNA from 1 species